rnacentral:rRNA from 1 species
CAUCAGUUCCGGAUUCAGGCGUAAGCGUAUGUAGGCGGUUAGAUAAGUCUUUAGUGAAAUUUCUCGGCUCAACCGGGAAAGGUCUAAGGAUACUGUUUGACUUGAGUGUGGGAGGGGGAGACGGAAUUCCUGGUGUAGCGGUGAAAUGCGUAGAUAUCAGGAGGAACACCGAUGGCGAAAGCAGUCUCCUGGUCCAAUACUGACGCUAAUGUACGAAAGCUAGGGUAGCAAACAGGAUUAGAUACCCUGGUAGUCCUAGCUGUAAACGAUGUUCACUAGAUGUGGGGGGUAUCGACCCCUUCCGCGUCGACGCUAACGCAUUAAGUGAACCGCCUGGGGAGUACGGCCGCAAGGUUGAAACUCAAAGGAAUUGACGGGGGUCCGCACAAGCGGUGGAAUAUGUGGUUUAAUUCGACGCAACGCGAAGAACCUUACCUGGGCUUGAACUGCUAAUGGUAAGAACCGGAAACGGUGAUGACCUGCAAGGGAGUUAGCAGAGGUGCUGCAUGGCUGUCGUCAGUUCGUGUCGUGAGAUGUUGGGUUAAGUCCCGCAACGAGCGCAACCCUUAUCCCAUGUUACCUGUAGCAAUACGGGGUCUCUGAGGAAACUGCCAUUGAUAAAGUGGAGGAAGGUGGGGACGACGUCAAGUCAUCGUGGCCUUUAUGUCCAGGGCUACACACGUAUUACAAUGGUCGGUACAGAGGGAAGCGAUAUCGCAAGGUGGAGCAAAUCCCUAAAGCCGACCUCAGUUCAAAAUUGUGGGCUGCAAUUCNCCCACAUGAAGUAGGAAUCGCUAGUAAUCGCANAUCANCAGGCUGCGGNUGAAUACNUUCCCGGACCUUGUACUCACCGCCCGU